rnacentral:rRNA from 1 species
UACGAAGGGUGCAAGCGUUACUCGGAAUUACUGGGCGUAAAGCGUGCGUAGGUGGUUCGUUAAGUCUGAUGUGAAAGCCCUAGGCUCAACCUGGGAAUGGCAUUGGAUACUGGCGUGCUUGAGGACUGGAGAGGAGACUGGAAUUCAUGGUGUAGCAGUGAAAUGACGUAGAGAUCAUGAGGAAGACCAGUGGCGAAGGCGGGU